rnacentral:rRNA from 1 species
AAACUAAUUUAUUUUGGCGGCAUUCAAUCUAAUUAGAGGAAUUUGUUUACUAAUCGAUAAACCACGUUAAAUUUCGCUUCAAUCUCAAAUCUAUAUACCGCCAUCUUAAAAAUCAAUUUAAAAAUAAUUUUUCAAAAACAAAUAAAAUAUUAGGUCAAGGUGUAAUUUAUAUUAAAGAACAAAUGAAUUACAUUAAAUAUAAUUUAAAGAUUAUAAAUAAAUAUAUCUAUAUAAAUAAGGAUUUAAAAGUAAUAUUAAAAUAAUAUUUAAAUAUGAUAUAGAUAAUAAAUGUGUACACAUCGCCC